rnacentral:rRNA from 1 species
AUUGAACGCUGGCGGCAGGCCUAACACAUGCAAGUCGAGCGAGCGGCGGCCGGGUGAGUAAUGUAUGGGGACUGCCCGAUAGAGGGGGGUAAAACCUGGAAAAAGUGGCUAAUACCGCAUACUGUCGGAUGAUCCAUAUGGGAUUAGCUAGUAGGUAAGGGAAUGGCUUACCUAGGCGACGAGCCCUAGCUGGUCUGAGAGGAUGAUAAGCCACACGGGAACUGAGAAACGGCCCAGACUCCUACGGAGGCAGCAGUGGGGAAUAUUGCACAAUGGGCGCAAGCCUGAUGCAGCCAUGCCGCGGGUAUGAAGAAGGCCUUAGGGUUGUAAAGUACUUUCAGUCGGGAGGCGUUACCGACAGAAGAAGCACCGGCUAACUCCGUGCCAGCAGCCGCGGUAAUAC